GUCCCCAUAGGCAGUUGGAGAUGAGCAGUGAGCAUUGGUUUGGUUUGCUCUGCCUCACUAUUCUUCAAUAACAACAGACCCAUUGUUAUUGGAGACUGAUGACGUCAGAAGUUUUGGCCAGCUGUAAGUUCUCACACAUAGCCUUUGAUUUCAAAGAAGAAGAAUAAAAGGAUAAUCUGACAGGAAUCCAUCAUUCAUUGACACCUGGCACACAGCAAGUACUAUGGGUAACAACAAACAUGAGGAGAAUAAGCACACAGAUGUGUAUGUUUAUCAGUUAUACUCUCAGCGACAAGCAAUGAGUGUUCUGAAGUGGAGCACUCCAGCUGGGCACUGCUCCUAACUGCGCUACCCCAAGAAAACGCACUGAGAGAAAACAGUAACAUACAGAGCGGAGGAAAACCCUGGUGACCAUUGGCAGCCAGAUGGAGCAGGGGUGAC
rnacentral:lncRNA from 1 species